rnacentral:lncRNA from 1 species
AGUUGGUUCCCGGAGGCAGAAUCUGUUAAACUGACAAAGCCCACGUCUCCGGGUCCCUGUCUCGGGGAGUCGGGACUAUUGGGUCACCCCGGGUAGUCGAGACUCUAGACUGAGCUGUCUCGGUCACUCAGGAGGCAGUUGGCAGAGUAUUCGUGGUCAGGGAGGUGACCCGUGGUCAGCAGGGUCAGGCCACCCAGGGACAAAGGGUGCUCCUGCACCGGGCCUUGGAGAAGGACAGAGCGGUGGGGACUUGGGGUCAGCGGGGGAGCCUCCGCGGAUGGGGAGUCACCACCUGCCGGGUAAGAGGGGACUCAUCACAGGGGCCGGAGCAAGACAAGCCCUCCCUCCCGGCUCAGGCCGGGUCCCAGGCUGGACCCCUCCCUGUCUCACAGGGCCGGCCUCCUUCGGAGCUGGCUGGGAUGGAAAGGGGAAGUAGGAGGAGCUCAGGACACAGGGAUUGGGGCCGAUCCUGGGGUCUGAGCUGUGGGGUGAGGAGGGGAUCGCCUGUCCCCUGGGGAGUGACGAUGUCACCCAGCCGUGGCCGUUGCGGAGGUCAUGAUCUGAACCUUGACAGCAAUCAGCCAUGACUGCCUUUGCACUGUCCAUGCUCUCAGCCCACCACCUCCUCCCCCUGCCAUUGCAGUGGCUAACACUGGAGACGAAGACCAAGACACCACAGCCUUUCUCCAGUACCUCUCAAAUCAGCACAGACAAGGACAAAGGCCUCAAUCCACAACUGCUGAAGAUGGACCCUGGCCACAUGGGAUGGUCAGACACGCCUGCCCAGCUAUCUGCAGGCGAAGAGGCUCAGAAGAGGUUUAGGGGCCUGAAGGACAUCUUGCUUCCAUGUCCAUAUGAGCAGGCUAUUUCUGCUCCAUGAGUCAAUUUUGCCAUAUAAAAUACUUAAUUUCAGCCAUUCCAGGGUGCUAUAGGAUGCACAGCUUCCCAUCAGCCCACCUGAACUCCAGCCAUGCCAUUUUAAUACCAGGAAUAAGGUCACCUGCUUUCCUGCCCCUUAGGAGGCCGGAGCCGUGGAAGCAAAAUGGCACUUCUGUUUACCUGUUAUAUUAUUUUUUUGUCAUCCUUAUAUGUUUGAAAAAUGCAAUUAUAUGAAAAAAGUUUAGUAAUUACAGACAUAACAGCAGAAAGUCCUCGGAACCAAGCUUAUUCUCAUGGCCGAUUCUGCUCCACCUGGGACUCUGCUGUGCUGCGGGCAUCCUGUGGUCAGAAUCGCAGAGGGGCCAUCAGGGAGGACCUUCCCAGAGGAUGGACCUCACGUGACUGCUGCGUGGGCAAGUGGCACUGGCCACUCUGCCUGGAGAGAGGAGUAAAUGCAGGGCUGGCCAGGCGACCUGCACACUCUGCUACCGGCCUUGUCCAUCUUUAGCCUCUAAUUUGAAAAUGAGGAUCACACAGACCAAGAGUAUCUUUGAGGGUUAGUACAGACCACAGAAAUGCCCUGGGCCUUUCACUCUCUCCUUUUGCAAAUUCCCAUGUGUGGAAAUGCCGUUUGGAUAAUGAGGGAGCCUGAAGGAGGUGGACACAUGAGCAGCCCCGACAGGCCUGGCUCCAUCCUCUGAAAAUGGGGCCCCGUGCCCGGCGUGUGGCCUUACUGGUUCAGUCUUCUUUACAGUGGUAGGUUUUGAGUGCCCAGAUGCCCAGUGCCUCCUACCCGGAACAGGACAGGACCAGGCUGUCCCCUGGAAGAAUCCCAUGCACACUUGGCUAUUCAGGGAGUUUCCACCCAGCCGAGCUCGCCUCUGUGGCUACCCUGGUCUUGCUGCUCAUAUCUGCCAGGAAAGGCCUGGACUUGGAGAGAAACCUGGGAUUUGGAUUCAGUCCUUGCCAGCCUGGCUGGUUCAUAUCCUUACCUCUGUCUGUGGAAGCCUAUGUUCCUGAGCAGCGAGUCAGAGGGGGCAUCUGAACGCAGAGCAGGGAGCUUCAGAUGGGAAGAAGUCAGAGGAACCAGAAUGUAUCAGACGAUGUGGAGUUGGGUGCCUGAGCUCAAAGCAAGCUGGGCCUUGGGCUGGCUGUGUGAUCUUGGGCAAGUUCGACCAGCUUCUUUGUGCCUCUUUUCUCUCCUUAAUAAGAUAAAUGUCUUCACUAGUACACUGAGGGCUGCCAUUAAGUUCUAUGUGCAGGGAUCCAAGGCAGGCCCUAGGUCUCUUGGUGAGUGCUACUCCUCCUUACAAUUUGCUGCCCGGAGCAACAUUGGGUGACAGAACUUCUUAGCACCUUGGCAGUCCUUGUCCUCCUGGACCCUCUGUUUUGAGGGUGGAAUGAGGUGAAGGGCAAGUGCUUUCCCAGCUGGUCAGGUGCUCUACCAACUGGGCAUAUUCUAAUCCCCCCAGAGUAUACAGAUCAGAGUUUGAUGUGGCCAAUGGGUCCAAUGCCCAAGUGAGAAUCUCUUGAUGAAGUUAUUGGUGUGGGGUUUUGCUUUGGUUUUUAAUUAUAGAGAGCAAAAGUAUUGAAAGUAUUACAUUUACCCUAAAGGUGUAAGCAAGUUAUGGUCAAGUGAAGAUGAAGUACCAUCCUCAAACACGGGUUCCAUUCUUAGCUCAUCUCAUUUAAAGGAGAGAAAAGCCUUGCAGGUGAAACAUGGUGGGGGUAGACAGGGGUUCAGCCAAUUUCAGUGUUUGGCCCCAAGAAGUGAAUUUGGGUUUGAGGACCUCUCUCUGGAAGGAUUUUAUGACCAGAUCUUCCUGGAGAUGAUAUUAGAAGCUUUUCUCACCAAAUAUUUAUUUGCCUGGGGUGCAACUUCUGCUUCAUUCUCUCUUUGACUCCAGCUGUCUUUUUGGACUGAAGUGCAGGUUGCUCACAGCAUCCUACAAAGUAACUGUCUUCCCAAAUCUCACUUACCUCUGAGUUUCUGCUGUAUUCCUGUCUUUCUCUCUCUCUUUUUGAACUGGAAUCUAUUACUUUGGAUGAUGCAUGCUGGCGUUUUCUAAAGUUUUCUGAUUGAUUGUGUCUUUAAAAAAUAAUCUGAUAGUAUUUUAGCUUCUUGAAUUUUGUGGCAUAUUUUUAGGCCUCUCCUAAACCCAUUUUUGAGUGCUAUGACAUUGUUCAUGUAUGAAGUUAUGCCAGUAGAAACAAAAUGCUGUCAUAUAGGCUCCCCUAAAACUUCAAAUCUGGUCCAGAUCUUAGACUGGCAGCUUCUGCUGUCAUUGGAUCUCAGUGAGACCUUUGCACCCAUUUCCUCCCUUUGUGAUUCAUCCACGGACAUCCCCAUCUCCUUGAGAACAAUCUCAGGAAUAUUCCUUGCCUUCUUUCGGCUCUCACUCCAUCUCAUUUUCUGCUGUUCACUCGGGAAUAAAGAGAUGUCCCACACUUUAAAGAGUAAAAACAAAAAUUGGAGCUCAGAGAGGGUGAACUUGUCAAUAUCACACAGAGCUGGGAGUGUGGUAAGCCCUUGAAAUGGGGCUCAAUGACACCGCUACCUCCCAGGGAUUCCUAAUGUCUGAGGGUUCCAGUGAGCUGAGAUGAACCCAGGGCCUAAGAAGAACUCUCUGACCUCCUCACCUCCAAAGCCCCACCCAGUGCACAUGGCCUGAGGCGUCCAUGGUGAUGGUAAAGAAACCUCACCUGCCAUCUCUCCCAUUACUGCCAUGUCCCCUCUCAUCCUAUUCUGUGCCAAAUGUCCAGAUGUGAUCAAUAGAAUCAGGAGAAAAUUGAGGCCUGAGGGGAGGGGGCCAGACUCUGGGAGUGGAGAGUGGAUUGAAGUCAGACUAGGGCUGUUCAGCAAGGAGUUCAGGGCCUUCAAGUGUUGGGAGCUUGGCAGCAAUGCCAAGGGGAAUGGGGGUGGAUUUGGGUCCAAGUUUAUGUUCGAAGAAUAUAAGCAUGAUUUGGAGACUCCUGAUGUUCAUAUGCCCCCAUCAAGCAGAGCUAGGGGUCGCCAGAGGAGAGAAUGGUGCUAGAAGUUCAGGUGAGAACAGGGCAGACCCCUGCAUAAAUGUGGGAUCUCUCUGUUUGAAUCACGGCCCAAACACCGUGGCAGGGACACUCCCAAGGAACUCAAACAUGUAUUUUAUCAGGGCUUUAACAUAAGGAAUAUUGAUUCUUAAGAAAAUUGGAAACAUAUGAGAAUCUAAUUUACUCUGUUAUGAGAUGCCAUACACCUGGAAGAACAGGUUAACUGUCAAAUUACUACCAAAUUGUUGCAAAAAAUUGCCAAUGAAGCAAUCAUACAAAGCUCAGGUAACAGAGUGGGUGGCCAUCACUCUGGGAGAGGGAGAUAGCACUGGAGAAGGUCCUUGUGACUCAGAUCAAAGAGAGCAAAUGGCAAAGAAGGGGGACAGUUGCUGUUUUCUGAAGUAAAGCCUCUUAGGUGUUAUUUGACCAUUUGUUACCUGUGAAUGUAUAAUUUUGAUUUUUAAAAUAAGUAGAAAGGAGCCUCUUUCUUAAAACCAACCAAUCUCUGAGCCCCACAGAUGGUAUUCUGGUUUCUUGCAGGAGGUUCUGGGUCCCACCCGCCUGCCCCCUUCUAGGACAACCCCACCAGCAAGGAGGUCUUUUAGUUCCUUCUGUGUGUGUUCACCUGCUCGUCCUGGCUUGGGCCCCAGGGAGCCCAGGAACCUCAGGGUUCUCUCAGCUGCACUUCCAUCCGUGGUGCCCAACCUCAGUGCCUAGGACUCUGUGUGCCUGACCUCCUCCAGGCGGGGCUGCUCCCUCCAGGUGUCCACCUGGUAUGGGCAUCCCGUGGCAGCUCUCCUCUGAUGACCGAGUGUGGUGGGGGUGCUAAGGCCAACUUGCUGCUGGCACGCCCAGAACUUAUUUGCUGGCUGUUUCAAAGACUCCCUAAAGGCACCAUGGAUUUUCCUUAGAAUACAGUUCUGUGCAGUCCCGCCCAUCCUCUUCCCCUCUGUUUCCCACUAGGGCUGAUACUUGCUUUAAGGUCUGAUGGCUCACCCAGUCCUUCAUAAUUUUCACAAUGUUAUGUUCCUUCCUAAAACCCUUGCAGUUUAAUCUGCUCUUGGCGUCUGCUUCUCAGAGGAGCUGAGGAACAGAGACUUCAACCCUUCUUCUCUCAGUUCCUGCUGCCCCUGUAGUGAGGCUGACAGUUGCAGACCAUAGAGCCAGCCUGGCCUUGCCCAGAGCAUACAUGACCUCUUAGUAAGGCUGGGCCCUGCUAAGGGCUAUGUUUUGCACACGUUCCUGCUAGUCACAUCCAGCACAUCUGGGCUACCACUUGGAUGGCAACAUUACAUUGAAGACCACUGUGGCCAUGGCAGGAGUAGACAAGGUGGCAGUCUUGUCUUCAGUCGUCAUGGAAAUCCCAGCUAUGCAGCACUAGCAGGUGUUUUGUAAUGGAGGAUCAGAUGCUUGAGCUUCUGAGCAGGCCCCCUCCCUCUACUGCCUUCUGUCAGGGUCUUGGCAGCAGCCGGCUCUGGAAGGCAUCCCGGCUCUGGGUUCAAGAGCUUGCUGGGCUUCUACAUGAAGGUGUGAAGUGUGAAUGUUACCUUUUCUGAUUUACACUUCUGUUUUCUGCUACAAACUUGGGAUGUUUUCUGAGGGAUGCUGAAUAGAUGGGGGUGGAUGGGGGGAGGGAGGCAGGGGCUAGAAAGUGUUCUUCUGGGGCCACCCUCCAGCCUGGGGCAUCUGAUGGAUGAGGAGGGGAGAAUCUUUGAGAUCCUGUUUAUGAGGGCACUGCAAAUACCACAUUUUUUUCUUGUUUGCAAAUUCUAGUGGAGAAGUUUUACCAGGUUGGGAGAGAGGCCUCAGAAUUAAGUCCCUGUCUCCUGCCACAGUUUACACCGGUGAAGCUUCCUGGCCGAGCAUAAACUCCCAGGUGGAGUACAAACAGCCUUCAACAAUGGCACCAUCAUUGGUACCAAUGGCAUUGAGAGGAGGUGGCACUGACACCCUAAGUGGGUGGCACUGACACCUAAGACUUAUGGUCUUCUGCUGCCUGGAGAGCUUUGCCUCCAUCACUGGUGCCCACCUUGGGAAUUCCCAGGAAUUACUCUUCAAAGGUACACUCGGACGCCCACUCUGCAAGGCCAUUUUGUUCCCUUACAGUGCCUCUGAAAUCAUUUUGAGAGAGGAGAAUAGGGAAUUAGGGUAAACAACGGUUAAGGCAUAAGCAAAAGAACAGCAGGUGCAGCCAGCUCUAGACAGCAUAUAGGCCACAUCCUCACUCCUGUUAUAACAAAACAGAAGUUUCCACUUCAGCCUUUUGUUUCAUCCUGGGUAAGUCCUUCAUAGGGUGUAACCAAUUGGAGGCCUCUAAAGGGCACCUAGGGGUGUUGCUAAAUUAUUAAUAGCUUAAAACCCUAAAGAACAUUGUAAUCAGCGCUCUUGAGCCCUUUACAUAAGUUGGCUUCCACUCUGUGGAGUGUACUUUGCUUCAAUAAAUCUGUGCUUUCAUUGCUUCAUUCUUUUUUUGCUUUGUUUGUGCACAACAAAUCUGUGCUUUUGUUGCUUCUUUCAUUGCUUUGCUCUUUUGUUGCUUUGGCUGAGUGUUUUGUUCAUUCUUUGUUCAAUGCCCCAUGAGCCUGGACAACUCAGAGUCAAGACUUUUUACCUCGUAACAGUUUGUUAUCCCAGAACUUGCAAAUCUAUCUGUCUUCUGUGUGUGGCUUUCUAUGUGGCAUAACUAUAGACAUUGAAGGUGAAACACAAGAGUAAGACUCUGUUCCUUAAGGAGCUCUCAGUUCACUGGAUGAGACAGAAGGAAGCCACCGACUCUGAAAGGAAACAGAGUGUGGCAAAGAUGGGGCAGAGGAGUGAGCACAGACAGGAUCAAGAGAAAGGGGAGACAAACCAUUGUCAUCAGUGCAACCUUUCUGGGGAGCAAUGUGUGAGUUGAGCUUUGGAGAAGAAAUAAGGAAGCUGGAUGUGGUGGCUCACUCCUGUAGUUUCAGCACUUUGGGAGGCCAAGGCAAGUGGACAGCUUGAAUCCAGGGGCUUGAGACCAGCCUGGGCAACAAGGUGGUCUCAAGAUGCUCUAUGACUUGUCCUUCUGACUCAACAGACCCAAUGAUACUUUAAGUGUGGCAAAAGGUGAAACCCCAUCUUUACUGAAAAUACAACAAAUUAGCCAAGCAUGGUGGCACGCAUGUGUGGUUACAGCCACUUGGGAGGCUGAGGUGGGAGAAUCACCUGAGCCUGGAAGGUCAAGGCUGCAGUGAGCUGAGAUCGCACCAGUACACUCCAGCCUGGGCAACCGGAGUGAGACCCUGUCUCAAAAAAACAUGAAUAAAUAAAUAAAUAAAUAAAUAAAUAAAUAAAUAAGAAGAGCCUUCCAGAGCAGUAUGGAAUGGCCAAUGCCCCUCCUCCCUGCUGCUCCUCCUCCUGUAGCUGUUUCCUUCUCCCCUCUCUCCUUGCUUGGAACAGCCACAGCGACUCUCCAAAUCAUGACACUCAAAAUGCCACUUCUAAAAAGAACAUCAGGGUUGGUGCCUCUGCUUCUUCUGAAUUGACCUCCCUUCUCUGCCCUCUUCUGACUCGUCCUCCCUUCUCUUUUGGAUGUAAUUCUUUCCAGCCUCCACACUCCUUUGACAGAAGAUGAAAAAUUUGUAUCUCUGAAUCCUAUAUCUGCUUGUCUAUGAUCUAAAUACUUUUUGAGUCAACAAGGUGAACAUAUUCCUCAUAUUUCGUUAUGGAAUGUUUAAAACGUCUAAAAUACACACUGCCACUGAGAAAGUAAAUUCAUGCACCUACAAAGAGAAAGGAAAGGACAGCCAUCCACCAUUUGACUACUGAGUUUCCACCUGCACCCUUCGACACUUAUUAGAACUUUCAUGAAACAGUGUGACAACUCUUAUUCCUAUCAAACAAAACAGAACUUUCUUCCUUGUAUGUAAAGAAGUUUGCACCCUCUACACCGAAUAAGGAGAUGCACAGUUCCAACAGUUAUUGUAUACAUCACUGACCAUAUUAGUCACUCCUCAAAAUCCAUCAUAGGUCCACCAAAUAUUCUGUUACCUUAAGACUACAUUGUAAGAUUAAACUCCAACAACAUGUAUAUACAACAAAUGAAUGGAGAGAAAAAUAAAAGUGGUGAGCGUAUAAUAUUAAUGUGUACAUAUUACAAAUAUGCAAAGCUACUACCACACUUGAUUUUGUAAUUUAUCAUGAGGCCACGACACCUUUUAAAAAAUAUAUUUAAAAAAUAUAAAAAUUUAUUUUAAAAAUAUUUAUUCUUUUCACUACGCUUCUUUUAUUUUGUGGAAUCAGGCCAUGAUGGUACGUUUGUUUUCUUGUUUCACUACCCAUUCCAUAUUUUCCCGGUCCUCACUGAGAACCUCAAUUUGUCUCAGGUCUUUGUCUAAUAUGAGUGACCUAAAUCACCAAAGUCCAGUCCUGAAGACAGGCUUUUCUGGGGAAUAUGCAGGGUUUGAGCAGCCGAGGCCCACUGAGUGAGCCCUUUCCAGGCACCAAGGGAAAUGCCUUCAGGAUAAGGAGGAAGAAAAAUCUAACCAAAGAUCCAAACCAUAGGACCAUGUGGACAUGGCUACAAUGCCAGGUGAUUCCCAAAGAGCAGAUACUGAUGAACUUCCCAUGAGGGAAAUUCUCUCUUAUCAGUCCAUGAGAGGGCAAACACACUUAAAGCUCUGAGCAGUUAUCAGGAGAAGAUGCCUGAGCAGCUUUGGUGCUGACUGUGAAGAAACUGCAGGAUGACCAGAAAGACCUGAAUCUCCAUGCUGAGGUCUGUGCUGUGAGGACAGGGAUGUAUCUAAUGCAUCUAACUCCACCUUCUACCCUGACUUCAAACUCUUCAAGAAUAAACUGCAUCAGGGCAGAGGCUGAGGAACUUCAGUCCAUAAUAAAACGUGAGGCCUUAUGCCCGGCAAGGUGUGUCAGAGACUUGAUGGCAACCAAGGUUGCCAAACAUGUCAAUUCUUCUGGACACAGGGUCACAAGUCAUGGACAUGCCAAGAAAUGUCUAUGCCCAUUUUGAAAAAUUAACUGGAUUUGGAAGUAACUCUGAACAAUGGGCUGAUAUAUCUUUGUGGGUGGGCCCUUUUGUGCCAAUAUACACUGGAGUGGCUGUAAUUAAUAAUGCUGAAUGUAUUGUGGGAAUACAUGUAGAGUGUGUAUGUAAUACUAUGUUUAACUGUAAAGGACAUUCCCUGUAAGAAAAUACAAAGUAGAACAAUGGAGAGGCACAAGUACAUAAGCGGGAGUAACAGUACGUGUUGUUACACGCCAACAUCCCUAUCCUGGGGUGGGGCAGAAAUGAGAAGUCUAACAAAGUGGAUAUUGCCCGACAAGCAUCCAUUACUAAUGGAGGUGUUACAUCCAGGAAAGAAGUAAACUAGACAUUAAUGGCAUCUCACAGCUACAUGAAAAAGUGCCUAGUCACCCUCUAGAUGUGGCUGUCUCAGACACAGGAUCUGUGCCAGCACCGUGGGCUUCUUGGGGACUUUAGUGCACUGAAGUCCUUGAGGAUACCUGGGCUUGGUUCACAGAUGGGUCAGCUAAGUUCAAGACCAGUGGGGGAUAUUGGGCUGCUGCUGCUGUGGAGCCCCAAAGGAAAUUGCCCAAAACUGCAUGGAAAAAGGAACUCUGCUCAGUUGGUGGAGUUGCCGGCCAACACUUGCCCUAGAAACACCCCCCUGCCCCCAAAAUGCACCUUGUUACAAUUCACUGACUUGUGGGCAGUCAACAGUGGAAUUGGCAGUGUGGUGCUGGUGAUGAGAUGACUGGACGAUCAAGUUGUAGCUUCCAUGAGGACAAAUAUUAUGGUGCAGAUUGCACAAGAUUUCAACCCCCGGUUUGUGACACUUGUGGAUGCCAAGAAAAAAGACCCUUCAAUAAUGGACAUCACUGAAAUCCACAAGCUGAUCAGGAGACCUGUACUGCCCUGGUGCCAGGAGCCAUUAAAAGAUGGAAUGUGCUGCCCUUAAAGAGAAACGGAUAAAGGUAACUAACAGUGAAGCCUAUGCACCAAGUGGAGCAUAAUCAUCAUGAAGGCACUUUGGGCAAAAAAUGUGGCAGUUCCCUGAAAUGGUACCUUCUAUUAUAUUUAAAUAGAAUUUGUGACAGAUUGGAACAGAGGAGGCCCAGGCAGCCUAUAAAAUUCCCAAACCACAUAAUUAACACUUCUUGCACUAUCUUCUGUGUCUACUUCUGAGCUACUGGAAUUUCGGAGUAGCAAAAAUGAGCCAGAGAAUAGGUGACUCUAAUAUGGUACAUCUUUUGCUGUCUGGCUAUGCUUACUGAAUUUAGGCAGUUAUGGACAUUGAUGAUAAUGAUCAUGAAUAUGAGGUGGCAAUUCCUAAGGUAGUUCUGGUGGACCUCAGUGCAUCAGUGGGGAAGAGAGAGUUUUUAGGGUGGUACAAAGUAUAUAAGGAAGAAACUCCUGAGCCACUUAAGGAUGAGUCUGAAUGUGUGGUGUUGGCUAGAUGUGGGAAGAGCUGCAAACACAGUGAAGUGAAUGCUGCAAGGACUGGUCAUACUGACCACCCAGCUGUGCAAGGAGAAGAGCAACCCUGGUUGAUGUGAGGAGAGAACAUCUUGGGCCCUGGAGUGUCAGGGGUGGUGGGAGUUGUCUGCAGGGCAUCUGGCCAAUUUAACCCAGAGUGCCACCACCACCCUCCACUGCUGGCCAGCAUAGAAUCUUAAUCAGAACCCUCCCAAUAGCCCUUGGCACCAGGAAAUAGCUUCCAGUGACGUGGAAGAACAAGGUUAACUUUGCAGACACUCAUGUUGUUAGAAUUUUUAAUAUGCUUUUCACCGACUAUUCUAAACUCUGUAGCAUGAGUGAUAAUGGACAAUCAUAUUGCCCUGGACUUCCUGCUGGCCAGUGAGUGUGGGAGGUGUGUGGUUGAUAACACCUCAUGCUGCACCUGGGUUAGUAACAUAUUUCACUGGCUUAACUCCAGAUGUGGCAUCUGGCUAUGGUCUGAUUGCACUAAUGUAAUAGCAUGAUCACUCUCAUCUAAUUUUGCCCAAGACAAACAGAACAGACUUGGUCUGAUACGUUUACAGUUACUUAAAGAAUGUAAUAAUGGUGGCCUAUGCUACCAAGAAUUCUUCACUGCAUAUGUGAACAAGCAGGAGGUGGCGCAUGAAGUUGUAGGGGAAUGCCCCCACCUUGCACCCUGACAACCUUGCACAUAUCCACACAGGCCUUCUGGGUAAAGGCACGGAUCACAGGUAAUCUGACUCUUGGCAGAACACCCUGUUAUCCUCCUGGAACACAGGGUGAGAGGCCUAUAAGGAGCUGCUGUAAGGCCAUUUCCCACUCCUGUAUAUAUGCUAAGAGGCUGAUAUUGCCUCUUGGGUUCUGAUGAGGUAUGAGGCUUUCUACCCCACCCUCUUCAGAAUAGAGUUGCAUAACAGAGUUGCAGAAUUGGAUCCUCAGCAGUGGGUACCCUCCAACUUGUCUUGCAGUCAUCUGGCUCCUUUCAUUUCAGUUUCGUGUGUGUGUAUGUGUGUGUGUGUGUGUGUGUGUGUGUGUGUGUGUGUGUGUAGGGAUGUGGUUGGGGGACAAGAACCACAGGGAGCUGUCACCUUUGACUAUUCUUCCUUUCAGUGUCUACGUCUACGUACAUAAUAAACAAUCUAAAUCAAAAAAUGGCUUUUGUAUCUUUACUGGUCAAAUCAGUCAUGCUUUGCCCUUUUUUUGUACAUUUGACAAGUGAAAGUUCUUGCAACUUCCCCUCCCUACCAAGAAUAAACCAGAAGCAAAGCAUCACUCGAGAAAUUGUAUCAAUGAAUGCCACAAUCAAAGACUCAAAAGAAGUGGUGAUACCUGUCACAUCCCCAUGUAACUUACCAGUUUGGCCUGUUCAGGAGUUAGAUGAGUUUUGGAGAGAGGCUGUGGGUUAUCAUUAAGUAAAUCAGGUAGAGACUCUCAUUGCAAUUGCAGGCUCAGAUAUAACAACUUUACUGGAGCAAAUCAUCAUCACCCUUGAAACUUGGUAUGCAGCUACUGACUCAGCUAAAGCUGUUUUUCAUCAUACCAAUUUUCAAGGACCACCAGAAAGAGUUUGCUGUGACCUGGUAGUGCUAACAGUAUACCUUCACAGCAUUGCCACAGGGUAGCUCUAUUCUGUUCUCCACCAUGACAUGGUCUAUAGAAAUACUGAGCGUUAAGCCAGACAUGGUGGCUCAUGCCUGUAAUCCCAGCACUUUGGGAGGCUGAGGCGGGCAGAUUACCUGAGGUCAGGAGUUCAAGACCAGCCUGACUAACAUGGAGAAACCCUGUCUCUACUAAAAAUACAAAAUUAGCUGGGCAUGGUGGCACAUGUCUGUAAUCCCAGCUACUCAGGAGGCUGAGGCAGGAAAAUUGCUUGAACCCAGAAGGCAGAGGUUGCGGUGAGCUGAGAUCGCGCCAUUGCACUCCAGCCUGGGCAGCAAGAGCGAAACUCCAUCUCAAAAAAGAAAAAAAAAGAAAGAAAGAAAAGAAAUACUGAGUGUCUUGACACUCCACAAAACAUAAUACUGGUCCAUAUUGAUGAUAUUAUGCUGAUUGGAUUUGAUGAGCAGGAAGUUACAAGUACUUUAGAUGUCUUAAUAAGACAUAUGUGAACCAUAUUGAAGGAGAUAAUACCCACAAAAAGCCAGGGGCUGGUCACCUGAGUGAAGGUUUGGGGAUUCAGUAGUCUGGAGAACACCGAAAUAUCUCCUCCAAGGCAAAAGACCAACUUCUGCAUUUUGUACUACCUACCACAAAGAGGCACAACUCUUGAUAAGCCUUUUUGGGUUUUGGAGGCAACAUGUAUCACAUUUGUGAAUCUACAGAGAUACUUGUAAGGCUUCCUGUUUCACAUGGGACCUGGGACAAAGAAGGCUCUGCUCUAAAUUCAGGCUAUAGUAUAAGCUGCUCUAUCACUUGUCCUUCUGACUCAACAGACCCAAUGAUACUUUAAGUGUGGCAAACAGUUGAUGUAUGUAGCUUCUCAAAAGGAUGAAUAGGAAAAUGACCACCUUGACCUCUAGAAUUUUUGAAUAAAAUCCAUGUCUUCUACAGAUAACUAUUCUCUUUUUGAGAACAGCUUCUGUCUUGCUACCAGGCCUUGGUAGAUACUGAAUGCCUAAUGCUUCCCGUCACAAACUCACCUUGCCAAGAGAUCAGGCAUGUGCACAGUCUAUCAUCAAAUGGACAUGGUAUAUAAGAGAUCAAGUUUGAGUAGGUCUGGAAUAUAUGAGUAGAUUUCAUAACAGGCACUUCAGAUUCCUUUGACACAAACUCCUGUUGCAUUGUGUCCUGUCCUUCACCCCAUGCCUGUGACCUCAUGAACUGCUCCUUAUGACCAGUUUACUGAGGAAAACACUUAGACCUGGUUACAGCUGAACCUAUGCAGUAAGCUGGCAAUACACAAAAGUGGACAGCCUCAGCAUUACAGGGGUGACCCUGGAGUAUGAUGGAGCUGCCUGCCUUGCCUGUAAUGCUUCUGCCAGCAACACCAUCUGUGGACUGACAGAAUGCUUUAUCCACAUUCACAGGAAUCCAGCCAUCAUCUGAGGAAGCAGUUCAUGUCGCAGCAAAGGAAGUUCUGUUCUCACCACAGCCCCUAUCUUCUGGAAGCAGCUGUCGUAAUUGAAAGGGUGCAUUUCUCACCUGCACUGUGGUCCAGGAAACUCAAGUCACCGUCCCCACCAUGUUCUUCCUGACUUCGAAGCAGUCUGGUGACCCCAGGCAGGAACUGACUAGCAUGAGAGUCUUGAUGCAGGAGAAUUUUUGAAGAAAUUCAGAAGCAGAACCGAAAGGAGGAGAGAAGGUGGAGCCACCUCCACCCUGUCCACUAACCUUCAGUGGGAACAGCAGAUGCAACUGGCGGGGCUGAAGGAAACAGCAGGCAGUGAGAUGGAGUGAGAACUGGAAUAAGGCAAGGAAUAUUGCUGAGAUGGUUCUCAAAUCAAUGGAGAGAGAUGUCCGUGGAUGAAUCACAAAGGGAGGGAAUGGGUGCAAAGGCCUCACUGAGAUCCAAUGACAGCAGAAGCUGCCAGGAUCUGACGUAAACCAGUUUGGUUGAAGUGUUGGGGGAGGCUAUAUGACCACAUUUUGUUUCUAUUGGCACAAUUCCAUACAUGGAAAAUGUCAUGAGACUCAAAAAUGGGUUCAGCAGAAGCUCAAAAAUAUGCUACAAAAUUCAGGAAGAAGCUAAAAUAUUAUCAGAUUAUUUUAUAAAGGACACAACUAGUCAGGAACCUUUUGAAAACACCAGCAUGCAUCAUCCAAAGAAGUAGAAUCCAAUUAAAAAAAAAAAAAAGACUGGGAGGAGUACAUCACAAAGGAGGGUGAGAUUUGGGAAGACAGUUACUCUAAGACCCUGUGAGCAAACUGCACCUGAUUCCAGAAAGACAGUUGGAGUCGAGGAGAGAAUGAAGCAACUUUACUGGCUGGGUUGAAGCCUACCCUAUCAGAACGGAAUAAGGCUAAUGCGGUUAUCAAGGUUCUCUUGAAGGAAAUAAUCCCCUGGUUUGGGUUGCCCCAAAGCCUCCAAAGUGAUAAUCGCUUGUCUUCUGCCUCCCAAAUAACUCAAAGGGUUGCUAAGGCUCUCAGAAUUAAAUACUAUUUACACUCAGCAUGGAGGCCUCAAUCCUCAGGGAAAGUAGAAAGGGCUAAUCAAACUCUAAAACUGGCAUUAGCUAAGCUAUGUCAGGAAACAUCAGAAACUUGGAUCAACUUACUGCCCAUAGCCCUCUUAAGAAACCAUUAUUCUCCAAGAGCAAAAAUUAAUAUAAGCCCAUAUAAAAUGUUAUAUGGGAGGCCAUUUUAACUAAUGAUCUAAUUACUGAUCCAGAAACGGCUGAGUUAAUAAAAUACCUAGUUAACCUAGGACAGUUUCAGCAGGUCUCGCAAGAGUUUGGAACUCAAAGGCUCCCCGCACCAGGAACUAACCAGCAAACCAAGGUCAGGCCAGGAGAUAAGGUACUUGUUAAAACAUGGAAUGAGGAGUCACCUGCUCAACAACUACAACCCUAAUGGAAGGGACUAUUUUCACUGGUGUUGGCCAUGCCUUCCAUGGCCAAAGUACUAGGAUUAGAUAGUUGGAUACCUCUUUCCAGGUUUAAGCCUGCAACAUCUGAAGCCCUGGACCUGGAACCGGAGACUCCCACCAGCCACUAUACCUGUGAACCCGUAGAAGACCUGAACUACCUAUUUAAAAGACAGUCAAAAGAUAAGUAAAUGCCUACCAAUUUUCCCUGGUGUAAAAUGUUAACUGAUUUUUGCUCUCUCACUUACAGAUGUUUGUAUAAGGGUUUCAGCCAAUUUUGGAACAAAAUUCAAAAUCAGGCCAAAAUACUUACCUGUUGUGACUAGAUCAAGCCAGCUGUACCUUUUAUAACCACGUACAAGGCUUGCCGCAACCCAUGGAUACCCACCUAAAUACUUAGGAAUAGAGAGCCAUGAUCCUCAGUAGGCAGGGACAAUGCCCAUGACCAGUAGAAAGUAGCUACAGAAAACUGAUCUUCAGCCCUUUUGCCUCCCAUAAAGAUUUAUGGGGAUCAUAUCUCUCAGAGGGAAAUGAGGCAGGAGAAUAGGGAAUUAGGGUAACCAGGGUUUCAGCUGGUGCAGCCAGUGCCGCAGGGGUGGAAGAACAGCAGGUGCAGCCAGUUCAAAUGAGCAGAAGAACAGCAGGUGCAGCAUAUAGGCCACAUCCUUGCUCCCAUGAUAACAAGCCACUUCAGCCUCCGAUUGGUCUCAGGCCAAUCCUUUAUGAGGUGUGGUCAAUUGGAGGCCUCUGAAGGGCACUGAGAGGUGUUGCCGGGUUUUUUCUUUAAUAAAAACCGUAAUUGAGGGGGCUCUUGAGCAGCCGCUUGCUCAAGCCCAAUCCCACUCUGAAUUUUCUUCAAUAAAUCUGUGCCCACACUGGCAUUUUGUUCAGUUCCUUGCCCAAUACACCAAGAACAGCAGGUGCAGCAUACAGGCCACAUCCUGGCUGGACAACUCACAUUUAGGACACUCUCUCCGGCAACAGGUGACAUCAUCCUCUUAGCCUGUCAAAAUGUUGGUAUUACAGGCAUGAGCUGCCCUGCCUGGCCUAUAACUUUUUUUGCUGAAAAAUAUUCCCUUGUAUGCAGGUAUUACAUUUAGCCAUUCAUCAGCUGGUGGACAUUUGAACUGUUUCCACUUUUGUUUACUAUGAAUAAAGCUGCUAUGAACACCUGUGUAAAGUUUUGCAUAGACAUGUUUUCAUUUCUGUAUAUAUAUCUAAGAGUAUAAUUUCAUUUAUUUAUUUAUUUAUUUAUUUUUGAGACAGAGUUUCACUCUUGUUGCCCAGGCUGGAGUGCAAUGGCGUGAUCUCAGCUCACUGCAACAUUUUCCUCCUGGGUUCAAGCGAUUCUCCUGCUCAGCCUCCCGAGUAGCUGGGAUUACAGGCACAAGCCACCACACCUGGCUAAUUUUUUAUAUUUUUGGUAGAGACGGGGUUUCACCAUGUUGGCCAGGCUGGUUUCGAACUCCUGACCUCAGGUGAUCUACCUGCCUCGGCCUCCCAAAGUGCUGGGAUUACAGGCAUGAGCCACCACACCUGGCCUAUAAUUUUUGGGUCAAAGUGUAACUCUGUUUAAUUGUUUAGGGGAAUUUCCAACCUAUUUUAUGGUUUUAUUGUUGUUGUUUUGAGACAAGGUCUCACUCUGUCACCCAGGCUGGAGUGCAGUGGCACGAACAUGACUCACUGCAGCCUUGACCUCCUGGGCUCAAGCAAUCCUCCAGUCUCAGCCCCUCAGGUUGCUAGGACUACAGGCGCAAGCCACCACACCCAGGUUGCAUAUGUCACCUGCACUGUGGUCCAGGAGUCUCAAGUCACCAUCCCCACCAUGGUCAGUCGCCUGGUGACCCCAGGCAGAAACUGAUCAUCAGGGGAUCUUGGAGGUAGGAAAAUUAUUAAAGAAAUCCAAGAGCAGGACUGGAACAAGAAAGUGUGGAGGUGGGAGAGAGGACAACUGGAGACCCAGGAGGGCCUCUGAGACCAGGGAGAGAAUGCGGGGAUGGCAGGGACAGAAUCUUCAUCCACUGAGAUUGGUGGAAGCCCCGUCUGUGCCCUGUCCGUGUUGGGGUCCCCCUCUCAGAUGGUUUCUUCUGCACCACCAGUCACCCCUACCCUGUCUGCUGACCCAUGGCAGAAACAGCAGAUGUGACUGGGGGGCACUGAGGCAGGUGGGGACCAAGGGACCAGGGACAGCAGGCGCCACCCUGAGCAGGAUCAAGGAGAGCUGGAAAAGGAGGUGGGAGUCGUUGUUAGAGGAGGGUGUGAAGUAGUCGGGACGAAAGAGGCCAGGAGGAGCCCCAGGACCUGAGGCCCUCCCUCUGCACACAGCCUUUCUCUGUUGGGCUCAGGCCCUGGCAACAGCCCAUUAUUUACUUCCCCCAACCCUGGCUCAUGCUCAGCCAAUCCCUGCUCCACUGAAGUUCUCUUGCCCAGUGUUCCUGGCAGUAAAUUGUAAGGAGGAGUAGUGCUCACCGAAGGGCAUAGGGCCUGCCAUGGGUCUUUGUACAUAGAACUUAAUAGCAGCCCUCAGUGUAUUAGUGAAGUGGUUUCUCUUAUCAUUUUGAGGCAAGAAAAGAGGUAUAAAGAAGCUGGUUGAACUUGCCCAAGAUCACACAGCCAGCCUGUGGCCCAGCUGACUUUUGAGCUCAGGCACAUGACUUGGCAUUUUCUGACACAUUCUGGUUCCUCUGACUUCUUCCCAUCUGAGGCUCCCUGCCCUGCAUUCAGAUGCCCCCUCUGACUUGAUGUUCAGGAGCACAGACUUCCAGCAGUGAGAGCCAAGGAAAUGGAACCAGCCAGAUGGGGAAGGACUGAGUGUAAAUCCCAGGCUUGUCUCCAAGUCCAGGCCUUUUCUGGCAGAUAUCAGCAGCAAGACCAAGGUAGCCACAGAGGCGAGCUCUGCUGGGUGGGAACUCCCUGAAUAUUUAAGUGUGCAUGUGAUUCUUCCAGGGGUCUGCCAGAUCCUGUGCUGUUCCAGGUAGGAGGCACUGGGCAUCUGGGCACUCAAAACCUACCACUGUAAAGAAGACUGAACCAGUAAGGCCACACGCCGGGCACGGGGCCCCAUUUUCAGAGGAUGGAGCCAGGCCUGUCGGGGCUGCUCAUGUGUCCACCUCCUUCAGGCUCCCUCAUUAUCCAAACGGCAUUUCCACACAUGGGAAUUUGCAAAAGGAGAGAGUGAAAGGCCCAGGGCAUUUCUGUGGUCUGUACUAACCCUCAAAGAUACUCUUGGUCUGUGUGAGCCUCAUUUUCAAAUUAGAGGCUAAAGAUGGACAAGGCCAGUAGCAGAGUGUGCAGGUCGCCUGGCCAGCCCUGCAUUUACUCCUCUCUCCAGGCAGAGUGGCCAGUGCCACUUGCCCACGCAGCAGUCACGUGAGGUCCAUCCUCUGGGAAGGCCCUCCCUGAUGGCCCCUCUGCGAUUCUGACCACAGGAUGCCCGCAGCACAGCAGAGUCCCAGGUGGAGCAGAAUCGGCCAUGAGAGUCCUGUUCUCUACGAGUGAAUAUCCUAAGGACCAUAAUAAAGCCAGUUCCCUUUUUGGGGACUGACAUUUGUUGAGAACUCCCCCUAUGAAUGCUGUCUUGCUGCAAAACUUCACCUCUGGAUAAAGUGGCUGUGCUCCUUCUGGAUGUCUGCAUCAGGGCUGCUGAGGCACAGCUGAGAAUGCACCACACAGCUGACUAUGCUGCUGUGCAUAUCUCAUUACUAAAUGCCCGUCCCUUUCAAGGAUGCCAGGCGUUAGGGCUGCAUUGCAACUUUGAUGGACACUGGGGAUUAAUGUCUGUGUGUCCUUGUUCCAUUAAAAAGUUUGAAGUUUGCUGGGUGCGGUGGCUCACACCUGUAAUCCCAGCACUUCGGGAGGCCAAGGCGGGCAGGUUACGAGGUCAGGAGAUCGAGACCAUCUUGACCAACACGGUGAAACCCUGUUUCUACUAAAAUACAAAGAAGUAGCCAGGCGUGGUGGUGGGUGGCUGUAGUCCCAGCUACUCGGGAGGCUGAGGCAGAAGAAUGGCUUGAACCUGGGAGGAGGAGGUUGCAGUUAGCCGAGAUGGAGCCACUGCACUCCAGCCUGGCAACACAGCAAGACUCUGUCUCAAAAAAUAAAAAAAGUUUGAAGUUUUAUUUUA